AGAGUUGAUCAUGGCUCAGGAUGAACGCUAGCUACAGGCUUAACACAUGCAAGUCGAGGGGUAGCAGGGUAGCAAUACCGCUGACGACCGGCGCACGGGUGAGUAACACGUAUCCAACCUUCCCAUAACUCAGGGAUAGCCUUUCGAAAGAAAGAUUAAUACCUGAUAGUACGUUUUUCAAGGCAUCUUAGAGAAAGUUAAAGAUUUAUUGGUUAUGGAUGGGGAUGCGUUCCAUUAGAUAGUUGGUGAGGUAACGGCUCACCAAGUCUUCGAUGGAUAGGGGUUCUGAGAGGAAGGUCCCCCACAUUGGUACUGAGACACGGACCAAACUCCUACGGGAGGCAGCAGUGAGGAAUAUUGGUCAAUGGGCGAGAGCCUGAACCAGCCAAGUAGCGUGAAGGAAUGAAGGUCCUAUGGAUUGUAAACUUCUUUUAUAGUAGAAUAAAGUGAUCCACGUGUGGAUUUUUGUAUGUAUACUAUGAAUAAGGAUCGGCUAACUCCGUGCCAGCCGCCGC
rnacentral:rRNA from 1 species